GUAGGUGGCAAGCGUUGUCCGGAAUUAUUGGGCGUAAAGCGCGCGCAGGCGGUCCUUUAAGUCUGAUGUGAAAGCCCACGGCUCAACCGUGGAGGGUCAUUGGAAACUGGGGGACUUGAGUACAGAAGAGGAAAGCGGAAUUCCAAGUGUAGCGGUGAAAUGCAUAGAGAUUUGGAGGAACACCAGUGGCGAAGGCGGCUUUCUGGUCUGUAACUGACGCUGAGGCGCGAAAGCGUGGGGAGCAAACAGGAUUAGAUACCCUGGUAGUCCACGCCGUAAACGAUGAGUGCUAAGCGUUAGGGGGUUUCCGCCCCCCUUAGUGCUGCAGCUAACGCAUUAAGCACUCCGCCUGGGAGUACGGCCGCAAGGCUG
rnacentral:rRNA from 1 species